AGAGUUUGAUCAUGGCUCAGGAUGAACGCUAGCUGGAGGCUUAAUACAUGCAAGUCGAGCGGGAUUGGUAGCAAUACCAUGAGAGCGGCGCACGGGUGAGUAACGCGUACACGACCUACCUCUGACAGGGGGAUAGCCCUGGGAAACUGGGAUUAAUACCGCAUAUUAUUCUGAUUAAUAAAGGAUUGGAAUGAAAGUUCGGGCGGUCAGAGAUGGGUGUGCGUCUGAUUAGCUAGUUGGUGGGGUAACGGCCUACCAAGGCGAUGAUCAGUAGGGGGCGUGAGAGCGUGGUCCCCCACACGGGUACUGAGACACGGACCCGACUCCUACGGGAGGCAGCAGUAAGGAAUAUUGGACAAUGGCCGCAAGGCUGAUCCAGCCAUCCAGCGUGCAGGAAGAAGGCCCUAUGGGUUGUAAACUGCUUUUAUCAGGGAAGAAACCUCUGGAUUUACUCCGGAGCUGACGGUACCUGAAGAAUAAGCACCGGCUAACUCCGUGCCAGCAGCCGCGGUAAUACGGAGGGUGCGAGCGUUAUCCGGAAUUACUGGGUUUAAAGGGUGCGUAGGCGGCUUUGUAAGUCAGGAGUGAAAGCUUGCGGCUCAACCGUAAAAUUGCUUCUGAUACUGCAUAGCUAGAAUCAGGAUGAGGUCAGCGGAAUGUGGCAUGUAGCGGUGAAAUGCAUAGAUAUGCCAUAGAACACCAAUUGCGAAGGCAGCUGGCUAGACCUGUAUUGACGCUGAGGCACGAAAGCGUGGGGAGCGAACAGGAUUAGAUACCCUGGUAGUCCACGCCCUAAACGAUGCUUACUCGACGUAUGGCUCUUGUGGUUGUGCGUCCA
rnacentral:rRNA from 1 species